CUCUAUUAGCGGGAAGGCGUAGACCAUUUCGAAAAGCUGAGCAGGACUAGGAUGUGCAUUUGUUAGACAGGAGGGGUAGAAUUUACCAUGGUGUAGGCGGGUGAAAUGCGUAGAGAUCUGGGAGGGAAUACCGGUGGCGAAGGCGGCCCCCUGGACAAAGACUGACGCUCAGGUGCGAAAGCGUGGGGAGCAAACAGGAUUAGAUACCUUGGUAGUCCACGCCGUAAACGAUGUCGACUUGGAGGUUGUUCCCUUGAGGAGUGGCUUCCGGAGCUAACGCGUUAAGUCGACCGCCUGGGGAGUACGGCCGCAAGGUUAAAACUCAAAUGAAUUGACGGGGGCCCGCACAAGCGGUGGAGCAUGUGGUUUAAUUCGAUGCAACGCGAAGAACCUUACUUACUCUUGACAUCCACGGAAUUUAGCAGAGAUGCUUUGGUGCCUUCGGGAACCGUGAGACAGGUGCUGCAUGGCUGUCGUCAGCUCGUGUUGUGAAAUGUUGGGUUAAGUCCCGCAACGAGCGCAACCCUUAUCCUUUGUUGCCAGCGGUUCGGCCGGGAACUCAAAGGAGACUGCCAGUGAUAAACUGGAGGAAGGUGGGGAUGACGUCAAGUCAUCAUGGCCCUUACGAGUAGGGCUACACACGUGCUACAAUGGCGCAUACAAAGAGAAGCGACCUCGCGAGAGCAAGCGGACCUCAUAAAGUGCGUCGUAGUCCGGAUUGGAGUCUGCAACUCGACUCCAUGAAGUCGGAAUCGCUAGUAAUCGUAGAUCAGAAUGCUACGGUGAAUACGUUCCCGGGCCUUGUACACACCGCCCGUCACACCAUGGGAGUGGGUUGCAAAAGAAGUAGGUAGCUUAACCUUCGGGAGGGCGCUACCACUUUGAUUCGUGG
rnacentral:rRNA from 1 species